rnacentral:rRNA from 1 species
AACGGCCGUACCAUGCUGAAUAUACCGGUUCUCGUUAGAUCACCGAAGUUAAGCAUCAUUGGGCGCGGUCAGUACUUGGGUGGGUGGGUGACCACCUGGGAACACCGCGUGCCGUU